rnacentral:rRNA from 1 species
CAAGUCGAGCGGACAGAUGGGAGCUUGCUCCCUGAUGUUAGCGGCGGACGGGUGAGUAACACGUGGGUAACCUGCCUGUAAGACUGGGAUAACUCCGGGAAACCGGGGCUAAUACCGGAUGGUUGUUUGAACCGCAUGGUUCAGACAUAAAAGGUGGCUUCGGCUACCACUUACAGAUGGACCCGCGGCGCAUUAGCUAGUUGGUGAGGUAACGGCUCACCAAGGCGACGAUGCGUAGCCGACCUGAGAGGGUGAUCGGCCACACUGGGACUGAGACACGGCCCAGACUCCUACGGGAGGCAGCAGUAGGGAAUCUUCCGCAAUGGACGAAAGUCUGACGGAGCAACGCCGCGUGAGUGAUGAAGGUUUUCGGAUCGUAAAGCUCUGUUGUUAGGGAAGAACAAGUGCCGUUCAAAUAGGGCGGCACCUUGACGGUACCUAACCAGAAAGCCACGGCUAACUACGUGCCAGCAGCCGCGGUAAUACGUAGGUGGCAAGCGUUGUCCGG